rnacentral:ncRNA from 2 species
UAGGGGGAUGGCGUCGCAGGUGCACUUGGGUGCCUAAGAGGGAAUCCCGUGCAAAUCGGGAACGGGCCCGCCGCUGUGAUCGGGGACGAAAGCUGCUGGGAUGCCACUGCCGCGCCUGUCGCGGUGGGAAGGCGCAGCCGGUAGGACGAGCCGAGAGUCAGAAAACCUGCCUGUGACGUCCGGUGCCG